rnacentral:rRNA from 1 species
CCUACGGGAGGCAGCAGUAAGGAAUAUUAGGCAAUGGGGGCAAACCCAAUCCAGCCCUGCCGCGUGCAGGAUGAAGGUCCUCUGGAUCGUAAACUGCUUUUAUCAGGGGCUAAAGUGGGACUAUACGUCCUUUUGCAGGUACCUGAAGAAUAAGCAC